rnacentral:rRNA from 1 species
UACGUAGGGUGCAAGCGUUAAUCGGAAUUACUGGGCGUAAAGCGUGCGCAGGCGGCUAUGCAAGACAGAUGUGAAAUCCCCGGGCUCAACCUGGGAACUGCAUUUGUGACUGCAUGGCUGGAGUACGGCAGAGGGGGAUGGAAUUCCGCGUGUAGCAGUGAAAUGCGUAGAUAUGCGGAGGAACACCGAUGGCGAAGGCAAUCCCCUGGGCCUGUACUGACGCUCAUGCACGAAAGCGUGGGGAGCAAACAGG